UCACAAGCAAGACCAGAGCCCAGUGCAAAAUGAAAGUACACGAAAAGAAACGGUGAGGAGUUUCCAGACAGAGGGAGCAGAGCAUCCGAGAAGGGCCCUCGGCGCCGCGCCGUGGUGGGCUGCAGACCCCGUGGUUUCCCCGCAUUUCCUUCUGAUUGGCCAGCAGGUGACCGCCUGCCUGGUCCGUCACAGCGAAAGCUCUCGAAAGCUCUGCGAGGGCGCACACCGCGAGCUCUUGUUGGGGGGCGGUGUUAUUUAAUGAGCGGGGUGGGACGGUCUGCUGGGAAACAGCUAUGGUGAAAGAUGACACACCACAAACACACCGUAUGCAGAGUCGACAGGGAUAACUGAAAAAGGAGACCCGCGUGAGGAGGGGCAGUUUGAGGCCAAGCACAGCUGGAAACAACACGGAAAAAUAAGAAGAUGCUAUAUCAAGGUGUUAGCGGCUGAUGAGUCCAAUUUCCAGUCAAGGCAGACUGAUGCUGCCGAUGGAAUUCUCUUGCUACUUAUACUCUCUGCAUGGGAAUAUUCGUUUGUACUGCUAAGUACCAACAAAAUAUACCACUUAUAUUUCAAUUGUAAACCAGAAUAUAAUCUUCUUUAGGUGUGGGCCUAAACAAGGAGAGACUACUGAAUCUCAAAACCAGGAAGUUGGGUGCUUCAGCAAAAGUCAUAAAAGGCUGAAAGUGUGCAAGGAAGGAGAAAAUGAAAGACCAAGUAUCCCAGAAGUGCUGAAGCAGGGGGAUGCCUGAGGGUGAAUUUGUGGCUUAGGAUCGAGCAAUGCACUGCAUAUUCCUUGAGUGUCAACGAGGAUGAGGAGAAGAAUGAAUGAGGCCCAGGUGGGAAUUCAGAAAGAAGAGAGAAUGGGGCAGAGACACCACAGAGAGAGCCACGAAUACACUUUAUGGGCACAACAGUCCCUCAGGCUAAAAUACAUUGUUCUUGAAUUAAGUUCCAAUUCUCUUGUUUGAAACCUUUGUGAGAUUAAACCCAUGACAACAUUUAAACCUGGGCAGAGUGUGCUGUAGUAAAAAUCCAUGUGUUUGUCCAGAAGAGAAUAUUUUACCUAUUAAUUUAAUACUGCAAUAGCAUUUAAAGUUUAAAUAGACACUCAAAGCCAAGACCGCAAGAUAGGAGGCGGCAGAAUCUGAAGGAACAAAUGUUUGCUUUUGUUCUGAGGGCCGCCUCUCUCCCCACGGAGCCCAGCUGCCCUGUCCUGACCGUAGCCUGUGGGAGUAGACAUCUGGACCUGAAGCACAGGAUGGGAAAGCGGCUCUCUUCAAUGUGGCUUCUAAAGGUGCAAUCUCUAAGAGCUAGAGAUUCCAUCCUCUGCCCUUUUUUCCUGGCUGGACUGAAGGGUAUCAAACCCCAAACAGCUCCAGAGUGUUCCAGGGGCCCCUCAGGGCUUCGCCCCACCCCCACCCCACUCAAACCUACUGUUACUAUUUCCUGUCUCCUGUGUUCUGGUCUCCUACAUCCUUGUCGGCAAGUAUCUGAGGGAAACGUAGUGUGUUCACCACCCAGGAAUUUCCCAGAGCCAGGCUCAUCUUCUGCCACAUGACACCAGAGAAUCAACACAGCCUGGGAGGGGAUGGGGCCAUGAGGAAACGUACUGUGUAUAAAUACUAUGCAUUAUUAAAACACAGGAUGCCUUUUCUAACAACCAGUCAGGCGUGGAAGCACCUGCUUGCCGUCCUGGCUAUUUGGCAGCUUGAAGCAGGAAAAUCACUUGAGCUCAGCAGUGUGGCCAGCUUGGCUGAGAUCCAGUUAAAAAAAAAAAUAAAUAAAACUAAAUAAAUAAAUAAAAAAACUAACCAGAGUUAACUUUUAGGAAAAUUGCUGUCAGUUCUUAAAAACAAGAUAUCUAUUCAUUAGUGAAAACAGUUUUCUUCAAAAGGCUUUGGUUUAACCUGAACUAGAUAUAUUUACUUAAGAAAAAAACCAAUUCAUUCUACUCCUAUGAAAAACAAAUAGCUAGUCACACACCUUUAACUCAGCACUCAGGAGGUAGAGGCAGGCAGAACUCUCUGUGUGUUUGAGGCUACCCUGGUCUACAUAGUGAGUUUCAGGCCAGCCAGAGCUACAAAGUAACCUGUCUCAAAAAUAAAAAAACAAACAAACAUACAGAAAAGAAAAACAAAUGAAAGACAGUAUAGUUUUUGGUUUUCAAGUUGGAAGGGAAGGUUUAAAAGUGUUAAUUACCUCAGUGAAGAAGUAUAGGGCAAAACCA